UGAAUGAAUAAAAACUUAUAUUCCUCUCCAUCUUCUCCAUUUUCGCAACUUUUGGACAGCCUCCACUAAAUCGGCCAUAACUCUCUACUCGUAGCUCCAAAUCAGGGAAGUUCUCGAUGAGAGAGAUAAGCGGGUUUGAAGAUUGGAGAUUCUUGCUGAAAGUGAAGAAAAGAGGCUUACGGGUUUGAUGGAGAAGAAGGGGAAAAGUCCAUAUUCUUGGCUAAGAUUGAGGGUAGCGGCGUGACUUGGUGAGGAUUAGCUCAUAAGUCGGUUUAGUUGUUGUGUCGGUGUCAUGCUCUGAUAGAUGUAACACUGGGAACGUGAUGUUUUGAGUUUCGAUUAUA